GGUGUUUCAAGCUUCACUUACCAAGAACCAAGAGAGAGAGGGAUGUUGACCACCUUAGGCCUUCAAACAAAUCUCACCAAACUACUUACUAACACUAGAAGGAAAUUUUUAUGGAGUGAAAUCAACUCUAAGCUUUGGUUUGUGGUAGAUUGGACCAAAUGGAAGCUUGCAAAAAUGGAGAAGUUCCCUUCCUUCUUGAGCUAAGGAGAGCCGGCCAACAAGAGAAGAAAAAUGGUGAUUUUUGGUGAAUUUUUGGAUAUUUACUUAGUUGGGUCAAAAGUCAAAAAAAAUGUCAAAAGGUGAAUAGUGUUUCAUAAAAGGUAUCCAAUAAGAAAGUGACAUGUGUCACUCUAUUAAAUGCAAUCUUAUCAUUCUUUUCUCUCUCACAUCAAUCACUUCAUAUACUCU
rnacentral:lncRNA from 1 species